rnacentral:rRNA from 1 species
CAAAAACAUGUCCUUUUGUUAUUUAUUUAAGGUCUGACCUGCCCAAUGAGGAAUUGAAUGGCCGCAGUAUUUUAACUGUGCUAAGGUAGCAUAAUCAUUUGUCUUUUAAUUGAGGGCUGGAAUGAAGGGUUGGACGAAGUAUUAUCUUUCUUUAAUUUAAUUGUAGGAAUUUAAUUUUUGAGUUAAAAAGCUUAAAUUUAUUUAUUGGACGAGAAGACCCUAUAGAUCUUUAUAAUUUUNNNNNAAGUAAAUGAAUUAUUUUGUUGGGGUGACUGUAGAAUUUCAAUAACUUCUAUUUAUUUAUUUCAUUUAUUGGUGUUUUUAUGNNNNNACCUUAGGGAUAACAGCGUAAUUCUUUCGGAGAGUUCAUAUUGAUGGAGGAGUUUGCGACCUCGAUGUUGGAUUAAAAUAAGUUAUGGAUGCAGUAGUCUAUAAACUAGGUCUGUUCGACCUUUAAAUUUUUACAUGAUCUGAGUUCAG